GGUGGUUUGUCGCGUUGUUCGUGAAAACUCACAGCUUAACUGUGGGCGUGCGGGCGAUACGGGCAGACUGGAGUACUGCAGGGGAGACUGGAAUUCCUGGUGUAGCGGUGGAAUGCGCAGAUAUCAGGAGGAACACCGGUGGCGAAGGCGGGUCUCUGGGCAGUAACUGACGCUGAGGAGCGAAAGCGUGGGGAGCGAACAGGAUUAGAUACCCUGGUAGUCCACGCCGUAAACGGUGGGUACUAGGUGUGGGUUUCCUUCCUUGGGAUCCGUGCCGUAGCUAACGCAUUAAGUACCCCGCCUGGGGAGUACGGCCGCAAGGCUAAAACUCAAAGGAAUUGACGGGGGCCCGCACAAGCGGCGGAGCAUGUGGAUUAAUUCGAUGCAACGCGAAGAACCUUACCUGGGUUUGACAUGCACAGGACGCCGGCAGAGAUGUCGGUUCCCUUGUGGCCUGUGUGCAGGUGGUGCAU
rnacentral:rRNA from 1 species